rnacentral:lncRNA from 1 species
CGAGGGGAUGAAAAUGCAUAUCAGGUAAAUGAAAACAUGGAGUAAAAUCCAUUCCAUAUCUCCAGUGGACGGAGACCAAUAGAAAUACAAGUCAACUCAUAAAUUUGCUUAAUAGUCUAUGGUUUGAUUGUUUUUUUUCUUCUUGAAAAAUUACUAAUACUACUGGGAAAUGUGAAGGAAAACAAAAGGCCCAGAAAUUCAUAAGCAGUAUCAAGUGUUCUUCCUCAGCAUGGCAUCUCAACUCAUUUACCUCAUCUUUCUAUCACUCUUUACAGUACUUGGAUCAAUUUCUCAAAAUGAAUGCCAAGUCGAAUUCUGCACGCAGCAUGGCCCUCUUAUCCGGUUCCCCUUCAGCCUUAAAGACCGCCACCAACAGCACUGUGGCUACCCUGGCUUUGAACUUCACUGCACUCAAAACAAUGAAACGGUCUUGGAAUUACCUUUUCCGGUGAAGGCAUCCGUCAUGUGAGUUGCCAACUAGAUUUGUGUUGUUGAGACAUUGGACACUUGGCUUACACUUCUUGUGGCUUUUGAAGGCCAAAUUUGCAGAGGAAUUUGGUUUGGAGAGUGGUCUAAAGUCAUGAUGUGGAUUGUUAAUAGGGAGGCUAGUACUAGAGUUGAAUUCACUGAUAGAUUUUCUCAUCAACAUAACUAAGGCUAUAAUAAUAUUCUUAUGUAUCAAAGAAAUGAAGCGAUUUGUGAUAGAUCGAUCGAUGCCCCAAGAACGCUCGAUAGGACUCCGAAGGAUUAGUCUAGAACUACAACUUAGUAAAACUAUGAAGUUUUUCUAAGGAGAUGAAUGUUGAGACUUUAUCAUCAACUACUCCAUUAUACAAAGGUCCAUGUUUAUAGGAAGGACUAAGGAGGCUACUGGAGGUAAUAGUUUAAAGAUAAUUCAAGAAUAUUCAAAGUUUUAAAAUUCCAACUUUGAUAAAGUAGCUUGUUCAGUAGUGAUUAUGAGAAUUAAUUUUUUGACCGUUAAAGAGAAAAGUGGGUCUAACUCGUGAGUGAAGAAAUAGAAAAU